rnacentral:rRNA from 5 species
GCGUUAAGUUGCAGGGUAUAGACCCGAAACCCGGUGAUCUAGCCAUGGGCAGGUUGAAGGUUGGGUAACACUAACUGGAGGACCGAACCGACUAAUGUUGAAAAAUUAGCGGAUGACCUGUGGCUGGGGGUGAAAGGCCAAUCAAACCGGGAGAUAGCUGGUUCUCCCCGAAAGCUAUUUAGGUAGCGCCUCGUGAAUUCAUCUCCGGGGGUAGAGCACUGUUUCGGCUAGGGGGCCAUCCCGGCUUACCAACCCGAUGCAAACUGCGAAUACCGGAGAAUGUUAUCACGGGAGACACACGGCGGGUGCUAACGUCCGUCGUGAAGAGGGAAACAACCCAGACCGCCAGCUAAGGUCCCAAAGUCAUGGUUAAGUGGGAAACGAUGUGGGAAGGCCCAGACAGCCAGGAUGUUGGCUUAGAAGCAGCCAUCAUUUAAAGAAAGCGUAAUAGCUCACUGGUCGAGUCGGCCUGCGCGGAAGAUGUAACGGGGCUAAACCAU